ensembl:antisense
CCUGGGGGCGGCGCGCGGUGAGACCCCGACCUCCCCCAGGCUCAAGGUCCCAGGUGUUCGGCUAUGACAAGAUGAAGCUGGAUGUCUCCUUCCCAGACGCUAUAGUCAAAGGGAUACAUGGUGCGAACCAGCGAUGGGAACAGCAAACAAGGCUUUCCCUUGGAAGGUCCCAGCAAGGUGUCUGGACCCACGGCCAAGUGCACCUGCUGUUGUGACCAAGGAAAGCUGGAGAGAGGCAGGCUGAGUCUUGAGCCAAGGAGAAAAGGAGAUUCCUGGACUGACAGAUACUCCUGGGCCCCAAAGAACUGCAGAAUCGGAAAGCUUUUCAGUCUUUCCAAAGAAGCUGAUGGUGCCAGUCAACACGUUGUGAGAAAGCAAGCAAAGAAGGGAAGAAGCCCAGGACCACAGCCCCCAAGAUCCAAGACCCAGCAUCUCCUUACUCCACCUGUCCUGCAACAAAACACCAAUGUAUUGUUCAGUAGAGACUAGGUGCUAUGGAGAUGGAGAGAGGCUGUAGAGCUAAGCGUUGCUAUGGAGACCGAGGAGAGGCUACAGAGCUAAGCCUUGGGCCAAGAGAAUGAAGGAAGCCACAGAAAAAAUGCCAAGAUCAGACUGCCAAGAGAUGUAGGCUGCUUUUACCUCCAAGUCAAAGUCAAGUAAAAAUGAGUAACAACAAAUGAGCCGACCUUCAAAAAAUACUUUGUUGGGUCAGCCAGGUGCUCAGUGGGUAAAGGCACUGUGUCCAAGUUUGCUGACCUGAGAACCAUCCCUGGGACCUACCUGGUGGAGGAAGAGAACUGACUCCAGCAAGUUGUCCUCUGUCUCCCACACGUGCGCUAUAGCUCUCACAUGCACAUACCCAAUAAAUAAAUAGAUUUAAGACACCUUAAAAUUAAAAAGAUAUAUUUUUUAAUUAAACCC